rnacentral:rRNA from 1 species
UACAGAGGUCUCAAGCGUUGUUCGGAUUCACUGGGUUUAAAGGGUGCGUAGGAGGGCAGGGAAGUCAGUGGUGAAAUCUCCGGGCUUAACUCGGAAACUGCCGUUGAUACUCUCUGUCUUGAAUCCCGUGGAGGUGAGCGGAAUAUGUCAUGUAGCGGUGAAAUGCUUAGAUAUGACAUAGAACACCAAUUGCGAAGGCAGCUCGCUACACGAAGAUUGACUCUGAGGCACGAAAGCGUGGGGAUCAAACAGG